AAAAGUCUAACCUUGGAAAAUUUGGAGUGCGGGUAGGAAGGCAAACAAUCCGGCCUGAUCUGAUAAGAUAUGUGUUAUCAACAGAGAGCCGUUUUACAUCCACUUACUUUUAAUAGAAGAGAAACAGAGCGGAAGCACUUCAACACCCCUCAAGAGCGGCAAUGCUGAUUUUCCAUCUCAAUCAGCAGUAUCAGCGAGAGAGAGAAACCUACACCACCUCCAGAGACCGUCAGACAAUGGCCCUCACAUCAGCUUUCACUCCCCCUCCUCAGCCGGGCUAACACACUGUGACCUGGAUCUGGCACUCUGACAUGGAGUCGAUUCAAAUCGACAUGCUAAGAGACACGAGUGCUACAUGAUCCUGUUUCAUCCUGGCAAGCUCGUAAUGCCUCCAAUGCCACGGCCAAAAUGCGGAGACAACAGGGACUAUUGGGCUUCUUCCCGUCGGAGCGUUUAAAGACGUGUUGCUAUUUAGUGCCUGUUCCUUUUCACGCACAGCGUUGGGGGCUUUUGUCAAUCAAAGAAAUAAACAAUGCAACGCCGCCA